GUAUGUAUAUGUACGUUCUAAUGGUCUAUGGAACAAUGUUGUUCAAUGUAAAAAUUAACUCCUAUAUGUAUAUGUACGUUCUAAUGGCCCAUGCAGCAUUUUAAAAAUCAACUCCUAUACAAUUAAACUCAAAUUUUUGUUCCUAAAAGAAUGUAAGAUCAAAGAAAAGAACGUAAAGUGAUGACCCAACAUCCGAAGAUACAAGUUGAGCGAUGUCCGACCAUCAAUAAAUGGAAUUAAUCGCUUCCGUUUCUGUGUAAGGAUCCCACCGGUAGAAUGCAAUUUGUAAAUAAAGGAACAAAGACGAACGAGUAGGAGGCGGCAUUCUUCAAACGCGAUAAAGGAACAUCAUGGACCUCCCAAUCCGUCAGGUGAGCUACCUAACCGGCAGGUAGUGACGAGAAUCCGUAUCGUAAACGAGUCGUGCAACCGGUGAGUCGUUGCAUCGGUUUUUCGAGGAAAGCUGCUACCUUGAGCUGUUACUACUUUGAGAAGAAACACGUAUAUUUGUAGACAUCGAGAAGAUUUUGAAUCAACAACCAUAGCACAUCUUAUUUAUUGCGUUUAGAUUUAAUAUAAAGAAACGUAACGUGUUCCUACUUAUUUGAACUACUUCCAAUUUGCUGUGAAACGCUCCGCUAAUAAUCGAACUGCAGAGAGCUGUCGAACAAAUUACGAAUCUCCGUCGACGGGUUCGUUUAACAACGAUCACAGUCCGUUACACGUCCAUAGCUGCGCAUCGGCGAUAUCGCGACUUUUCCCUUCACAAAAUUACUAGCACAAAUAUCUGUCAGGGCUGAAUGGUUACUUUACCGGCCAAAAGCGCGCGCGAUGGCAAACAAGAAACGGUCCUGGUCAAAUAUCUACUCGCGAUACAUCGGCCAGUCGACGUAACUUGCUGUUGAUUUUUGUCAUUUGACUCGAAAUGGUCAGUCUGUCUGUCUGGCUGUCUGUUCGUCGAACGGUUAACUGUUCCAUCUGCAACGAUAGCUCUCUGACGUUCAACUUUGAGUAACCUUGGAAUACUGUAGGCUGCAAAAAUUAUAUCAGCGACAAACAAGCGUUAAAUGAUAAAUAAGCGUUGAAUGAUAAACAGAAUAAGAGUUAGACAAUAAGCAAAAAUAAUUUGAGGAUCCACAAGGGAUGUGUAAAGAGAUGUUACUAAGUUAGGGAUUCAAGAACUUGGAAAAAUGUUUUCAAGCAUCAGACAUUUUGUCAACGAUGCAGUCAUGAUAGCAGAGGAUCCUCGAAUUAUUUUGACAAGU